rnacentral:rRNA from 1 species
AGAAAAAAAGUUAUUAAAUUGGUUAAGGUUUUUAUUAAAUAAGAAGAAUAAUUGAUGUUUUAUUAUUGAGAUAGAAAGAAGUUAGCUGGUAAAUGAGUUAAUGAGAGGAAAAUAGUAUUGUGAGAGAAUUUUUUGUAACUAGAAAAAAGAAGAAUUUUGUUUUUGUACCUUGUGUAUCAGGGUUUGUUAAUUAAAAUCUAAGUAUUUAGAUUUCUCGAAUUUAGAAGAGUUAUGAGUUUAGUUUUAUUAAUGUGUCAGAAUUAAAUAAGAUAGACUUAUAGAGAUGAGAUGUCAUUCGAUUCUGAAUAUAUCUGGUUUCUUAAGAAAAAAAUUUAAUUUUAUUUUUAUUUAUUAUAUAAGUGUAUGGAUACAGCUAUGGUAAUAAAAUUUUAUGUUUAAAGGGAUGAGCUUUUAAAUAAAUUUAUAUAAGGAGGAGAAGAGUACAAGGUACGGAGUAGGAUUGUAAGUUUCUAUCUUUAGAAGUGUGUUUUAACAAAGUAUAUGAAACAGAAAGAUUUAAAACAUGUUUAUUUGUUAUAUUAAGACUUGAUUUUGAAUGAUAUAGAUUUAGUGAUAAUGAUAAAAUUAGUAUAAAUAGGAAGUAAGAUUAAAAAGUAGUAUGGAAGGUUUUGAAAAGGAAUUCGGCAAGUAUUUUUUUCACCUGUUUAAUAAAAACAUGUCUUAUUGAUUUUUAUUUUAGGUCUGGCCUGCCCAAUGAUAAUUUUAAUGGCCGCGGUAUAUUGACCGUGCUAAGGUAGCAUAAUCAUUAGUUUUUUUAUUGAAAGCUAGAAUGAAAGGUUAGAUGAAGGAGAUUCUGUCUCUUUGAAAAUUUAUUAGAAUUUUAUUUUUAAGUUAGAAAGCUUAAAUUUUAAUGGAAGACGAGAAGACCCUAUAGAGUUUAAUGUUUAGGAAUGUUUUAAAUAUUAGGUUUAAGAUUAGUUUUAAUUUUUUUAAACAUUUUGUUGGGGAGACAGGAAAAUUUAAUUAACUUUAUUUAUUAAUUAGUACAUUAGUUUAUGAUAAGUAUGAUCCUUAAAUUAAGAUUAAAAGAAUAAAUUACCUUAGGGAUAACAGCGUAAUUUUUUAUAGAGUUCUUAUCGAAUAAAAAGUUUGCGACCUCGAUGUUGGAUUAAAAUAAAUUGUUGGUGCAGAAUUUAAUUAAUUGGGUCUGUUCGACCUUUAAAAUUUUACAUGAUCUGAGUUUAAACCGGCGUGAGCCAGGUUGGUUUCUAUCUCUAUUAAUCGGUAAAUUUUUUAGUACGAAAGGACCAGAAAUUUGAUUAAGAAUUUUUAUAUUGAAUUAUAUUAAG